CCUACGGGUGGCAGCAGUCGAGAAUCAUUCACAAUGGGGGAAACCCUGAUGGUGCGACGCCGCGUGGGGGAAUGAAGGUCUUCGGAUUGUAAACCCCUGUCAUGUGGGAGCAAAUUAAAAAGAUAGUACCACAAGAGGAAGAGACGGCUAACUCUGUGCCAGCAGCCGCGGUAAUACAGAGGUCUCAAGCGUUGUUCGGAACCACUGGGCGUAAGGCGUGCGUAGGCUGUUUCGUAAGUCGUGUGUGAAAGGCGCGGGCUCAACCCGCGGACGGCACAUGAUACUGCGAGACUAGAGUAAUGGAGGGGGAACCGGAAUGCUCGGUGUAGCAGUGAAAUGCGUAGAUAGCGAGAGGAACACUCGUGGCGAAGGCGGGUUCCUGGACAUUAACUGACGCUGAGGCACGAAGGCCAGGGGAGCGAAAGGGAUUAGAUACCCUUGUAGUC
rnacentral:rRNA from 1 species